GACGAACGCUGGCGGCGUGCUUAACACAUGCAAGUCGAACGGAAAGGCCCUGCUUUUGUGGUGUGCUCGAGUGGCGAACGGGUGAGUAACACGUGAGUAACCUGCCCUUGACUUUUGGAUAACUUCAGGAAACUGGGGCUAAUACCGGAUAGGAGCUCCUGCUGCAUGGUGGGGGUUGGAAAGUUUCGGCGGUUGGGGAUGGACUCGCGGCUUAUCAGCUUGUUGGUGGGGUAGUGGCUUACCAAGGCUUUGACGGGUAGCCGGCCUGAGAGGGUGACCGGCCACAUUGGGACUGAGAUACGGCCCAGACUCCUACGGGAGGCAGCAGUGGGGAAUAUUGCACCAUGGGCGGAAGCCUGAUGCAGCAACGCCGCGUGCGGGAUGACGGCCUUCGGGUUGUAAACCGCUUUCGCCUGUGACGAAGCGUGAGUGACGGUAAUGGGUAAAGAAGCACCGGCUAAAUACGUG
rnacentral:rRNA from 1 species